CCUACGGGUGGCAGCAGUGAGGAAUAUUGGUCAAUGGGCGGAAGCCUGAACCAGCCAAGUAGCGUGCAGGAUGACGGCCCUACGGGUUGUAAACUGCUUUUAUACGGGAAUAACGCGCCUUACGUGUAGGGCUUUGCAUGUACCGUAUGAAUAAGGACCGGCUAAUUCCGUGCCAGCAGCCGCGGUAAUACGGAGGAUGCGAGCGUUAUCCGGAUUUAUUGGGUUUAAAGGGUGCGCAGGCGGUCUGUUAAGUCAGCGGUCAAAGCCCGGGGCUCAACCCCGGCCCGCCGUUGAAACUGGCAGUCUCGAGUUGGAGAGAAGUAUGCGGAAUGCGCGGUGUAGCGGUGAAAUGCAUAGAUAUCGCGCAGAACUCCGAUUGCGAAGGCAGCAUGCCGGCUCCACACUGACGCUGAGGCACGAAAGCGUGGGUAUCGAACAGGAUUAGAUACCCGGGUAGUC
rnacentral:rRNA from 1 species